UUGAGGUCAUUUAAGUAGUCAGUGUCAGAGCUGGGGUGAAGGUCAGGUCUGCUCCAUUGCAGAGUUUUUGCUCUUUCUACUCCAGAAAUCUGCAGCACUCACAGCCAGUUUGGGAUUUUAAGGACCCAUUAAAUGAAGAAUCCAUGAUAAACAUAAAUAUUCAUCAUCUUACUUGACAUAUGCCCAAUCACCCUAUGAGAAAAUACCAGAGGAGAGAAAUGAGAAUUUAUGGAGGUCUUGCCUGGGACAGUAACAGAAAUCCUGAGGAAUUGGAAACUGGUGUGGCAUGCCACCCAUCUGAAGGGGAGGAGGAAUGAGGAGAGAGUGAAAGGAAGGACCUGAGAAGAUUUCUUGCGAAAAAAUACAAAACAGUAAGUAAAGAUAAUAUUUAUGCCAAAAGGGAAAAUUUUGGUAUAAUGAAGAUAGCAUGCACUAGUAGAUGAAGUUGCUAUUCUAAAAAUAA
rnacentral:lncRNA from 1 species